GCCCAUAAAUAUAUCCAUGUAGAUAGAUAAGCCCAGUAUUUAGAAUAUGGGCCACAUGCAAACAGCCCGGAUGCCAAUGGCAAAACGUGCAAGAGGACAACAAUUAACAGAACAGUCAGAAACAGUUGAACCAAGCAAGCAGGCAGAGGUAGGAGAGGAAGACAGGAGACCAAACUAUAAACAGACAGAGAAGGAACAGAAAAAUGUUAAGGAACAGUAACAGUGCCAUCAUUAUCUUCUUCUUUUCUCUUAUCUCAAUGUCUCAACGCAGAAUAAACCUUCUCUUCUCCUACAUUCCUUCAAACUUUCUUCCCCAUCCAAAUAUGCCAAUAACAAGAGUAAUAGUAACAAAACAGUCACUAGCAAUUACAAUCCGUCAAGAAGACUAGCUCUCUUUCAGCUUGGAACUGAUAUCCCACAAUCACAGUUCUUAAGUGGAAACUUAGCACCAGCAAGAAGUAGUGAGGUUGCUGAGAAAAAUGUACUAGAGUGGGUUGAGAAUGACAAGAGAAGAACGCAUGCUUCAUGGUGCCUAUAAUGUUGGGGACUUGGACAAGGCUAUAAAAUUUUAUACUGAAUUUCGAGGAAUGAAGUUGUUAAGGAAAAGGGAUGUACCUGAGGACAGAUAUAGUAAUGCUUUUCUUGGAUAUGGACCUGAAGACUCUACUCUUGAACUUACUUAUAGAGAGUUACUAGGGAACCGGGUCCAGUUAAAGGUGGAAUUACAAAAAUCGCAUUUGUUGAAGACCCAAUGGCUACAAGUUUGAGCUCUUGGAAAGAGGCCUGACUCCUGUGCCCUAUGCCAAGUGAUGCUUCGAGUGGGUGAUCUUGAUCGCUCCAUAGACUUUUAUAAGAAGGUUAGAAGUAAUCAAUGCUGUAAGAAGUUGCUUCGUUCAUUGAAAUUAAAGCAGUGGCAUUGCUUCUUCAGAUGCACCAAAUUCAAGUUUUCUACUAACCUGUUCUUAAUCCUUGAUGUUACAAGCUCUUCUCCAUAGAAGCAUUUCCCAUUUUCCUCAAGUAUAUUGCUAGGCAUAAGAUGCCACUCUAAUUAGUUGCUUGUUAUUCUACCUUCUCAUAGCCAUGAUGGGUUAUGGCCCUGAAGAUAAAAAUGCAGGUCUGGAACUGACAUGUAACUAUGGGAUUACAGAAUAAAACAAGGACAAUGGCUACACGCAGGCACAAAUGAUGUCUACAAGAGUGCAGAGGCAGUCAAGCUGUGUGGAGGAAAAAUUGUCCGUGAGCCUGGCCCUAAACCAGUUAUCAACACCAAGAUUACUGCAUCCUUGGAUCCUUAAGGUUGGAGAUCGGUAUGAUUUUUAAUUUUUAUGUUUGUCUUUCCUAAGAAGCAAACUUUGAAGUCAUAAAAAAAGCUUACUUCUAAGCUGUGCUAUAUCACUUUGUUGGAACUCAAGUGUUUGGUCUUUGGUGCAACUUCUCAUGCUAAAGAAGAAAAAAGCAAGAAGCAAGCUGGUGAAGAGAGGGGGAACAGUGGGAUAUUUAAACAUGGGCUUUAAGAGUUACAAAAAUGGAGGCACACAUUCUGUGAUACAAGAAAAGGGGCCCUCAAUAAAGAUAGUGCAUCUUUGUCCUCCUUGCUUUUCAUCUCCACUCUUUUGUGCUUUGAUACGUAAAGAGCUAAAGGCUCGAUUUUCUUGAGAGGCGGGAUUCAUGAUUACUUAGGUUCUCCUUUGUCUCCAUCAUCACUAUCACUGUAUAGAGAGAAAUGGGGCCUUGCUAAGCAAUUGGUAGAAGGAAAAUGCAGCAAGCAUCAUUUGUGAAUAGCACAACUUUCUUAUCUAAUUGUCUGUGCAUCAUGAAACGCUUCAGCAUCAUGUAAAACAUGCAUAUCCAAGACUUGAAGAUAACAAUCUUAACUCAUUGUGCAAGUAUAAUUGCAUAGAAAUUGGAGUAUAGGAGGAAAUUUAUCU